GGAGGAGGAUCUCUCCCCACAAGUUUACUUUGCCCUUUGAGGGAGAUGAGUUUCAGCCUCAACAAACGCGCCGUGAGAGGACCGGUGCGUGGGGAGUAAAAAGCUUGAGAGCACGCUGAAAUCUGCUGAAUUCAGGAUUACCGGCGGGCCAUGGACGCUUCGGUGUAGCGGAGUUUGUGUGCGGAUUCCCGGGUUGUGCGCCUGCAGCUGAGCGGACCGCGCAGCGCGACUCCAGGCGGCUCUGAAGGAAACCAUAUCUGGUCAAAGUAUUCGUUGCUGUCACACAGCGGGACCGUCCGGCUAUAAAUAGCGCUGGAGGAGGAGGACCGACUCUUUGCCAAGGAGCGCUGCAGGGCACUUGAUGUUCUGUUGCUUUUAUAUACCUGAGCUGGGGGGACACUGAGAUAAAGAUUCUUGUUUCCAAACUUUGGGAUCCCUGUGAGCCUCUGGUUUCCUACAUUUGAUCUUUCUCGUUUGGAAGGGUUAUCGAGAGGUGUGCUGUCCAUCAUGUCGGUGCUGAAGAAGGAGAUGGAGAAAUACAGGGACAUAGACGAGGACGAGCUGCUGAAGAAGCUGUCGGAGGAAGAGCUGCAGCGAUUAGAGGAUGAGUUAGAGGAGCUGGAU